GGAUUAGAUACCCUGGUAGUCCACGCCCUAAACGAUGUAUGCUUGGUGUUGGUCUGGUUACAGAUCAGUGCCGGAGGAAACCCAUUAAGCAUACCACCUGGGGAGUACGAUCGCAAGGUUGAAACUCAAAGGAAUUGACGGGGGCCCGCACAAGCGGUGGAUUAUGUGGUUUAAUUCGAUGCAACGCGAAGAACCUUACCUGGGCUUGAACUGUAGGAAGUAGAACCCCGAAAGGGGAACCACCCGUUAAGUCGGGAGCCUAUAGAGGUGCUGCAUGGCUGUCGUCAGCUCGUGCCG
rnacentral:rRNA from 1 species